UUUAACCCUAGAGGACAGCAUCAGAGUCCCUCCCCUUCAGCUAAGCGCAGCUUUUCCCUUCUUCACUACAAAAAAUCAGAACCCCAGAAACUUGAAGGAACCAAUAGCGCACCUCCCCUUCCUUGUUUCUUCUUCAUCUUUUCGUCAAACCAUCCAAAUUGCCGCAAAAAAGAAGACCCCCCCCCCUUUCCAAGAAGAACGGCGGUCAUUUUCUUCCAUCCUCAAAAAAAUUGAAGAUGAGACCCCCUUAGAAAAGAAAACAAGUCUAGCUCUGAAAAUUCAAAAAGAGUUUCAAAAACAAAACCAAAACAGAAAACAAAGGAAGACUUGAAAGCUAUUCGAAGUUCUGCUCUUUUACUUCAAUUUUCUUGAAUUUCGAGUGGUAUUGGAGCGGUAAAAGUGUUGUUUGUUGUUGUAUUUGUUGAUUCUUCUGUUGCCGAUCUUCGAGCAUGGCGAUUCCAACUUUAUGUGUCUUUCUUCUCUUCUAAAAUUGAACCUUGCACGCGAUGAGCAUACCUCGUUCUUCGUUUUCCUCCAUUUGGUGAGACGUUUAAUGAGCAGAAACUAAGGCAUUUUUGGAUAUUGAAUUAAAGAGAGUUGGGAAAUGUGAUCAAAGGCAGUAAUGUAGCCACACUUUUAUGCACCCCAUUCACUUUCUCUUGUCUUGUAGUAUUAUAGUUUUUUUUAGAA